UACAGAGGUCUCAAGCGUUGUUCGGAUUCAUUGGGCGUAAAGGGUGUGUAGGUGGCGCCGUAAGUCGGGUGUGAAAUCUCGGAGCUUAACUCCGAAACUGCAUUCGAUACUGCCGUGCUUGAGGACUGGAGAGGAGACUGGAAUUUACGGUGUAGCGGUGAAAUGCGUAGAGAUCAUGAGGAAGACCAGUGGCGAAGGCGGGUCUCUGGACAGUUCCUGACACUGAGACACGAAGGCCAGGGGAGCAAACGGG
rnacentral:rRNA from 1 species